UGUGAGUAGUUGGUCAGAGGCUGGCAUGUUUUCAAGGGAGAGUGUGUCGGAGCUGUAGUUGUAAUCACUCACCUCAGAGCCUGGAGAUGGUAGGGGCUGUGUAGUGUCAGACAACCUGGGCCUGGAUUUUACAGGGCUGCGCAGAGAGGGAGAGCCAGACACGGGUGAUUCAUCAUCUGGAGAUAAGCUGUAGGCAGAUGGGAGCGCAGUGUCAGCGAGAGAAGAGGAGAUGUAAUCCCCUGCAGCAACGGGUGUUGUGGGAUGAGCAGAGCUGGAGGCUGCGGCGCCAUCUUGUGUGUUGUCUGCUGAGCGUGGGAAGUAAUCAAUUGUAGAAACAGAUGAAACUGUGAAAAAACCUGAGCAAAUCCCAGUAAGCAGUGAGGAUGAACAGAAUACAGUUGUACAGCUGGAGAAGGCUACUGCAGAUGAACAUGUCUCUAAAUCAGAUCUCCUGCUGAUACCAUUAUCAUUUGAAAAGGAUGAUGAACGCAAAGAGCAUAUCAGCUUCAUCACUGCAGCAUCCAACCUAAGAGCCAAGAUGUAUAACAUUGAGCCUGCUGAUCGAUUCAAGACCAAGCGUAUUGCAGAGAAGAUCAUUCCUGCUAUAGCUACAGCUACUGCAGCAGUGUCAGGGCUGGUUAGUAUUUAUGCAUGAUAAUCAACCUAGUCAAGCCUAGCAGAUGUUUACCUACAAAGAGACACAGGUGCACACUUUUACACAGCCCUGUGAUACUCCCGAUGGUUUCACAGCACCAAGUAUUGGUUGUCUGGGGUGAAUGUACCUCAAACCAUCUGGUGAAUUGGAUAAAGGGCCGUUGCACUUUAUGAGCUCUUGUGGGAAACUUUAAUCAACCUGGAAAAAUUACAAAAGAUACAUUAAAUAUCAGAAAUAAUAGUUCCUUGUCUCCUGAAUACACCAAUGCCAUAUAUACAGUUAGGUCCAUAAAUAUUUUGGUUCUGUACCUGUACCUGUACAUUACCACAAUGCAUUUUAAAUG